rnacentral:rRNA from 1 species
UAGUCAAUGCUCGAAAGAGUGAACUAGCUAACUGAAAUCAAUAAAAAAUAAUUGAUAACAUAAGGGAAAAUAAUGAUAUUACCUUAUUAUUAGUGUCGUCCAAAACUGGUGCCAGAAGACUCGGUAAGGCCAGAGACACAAACGUUAAUCGUCUUAAUCAGGCGUAAAGGGUUUGUAGGCAGCUUUAAAAUUUACUUAUAAAAUAAAAAAAAAAAAGUAAAGAAUAAAAGCUAGAAUCAAAUAGAGGAUAUAUGAAAUAAUGUUUAGAGUAGGUCUGAUAUCCUUAGAUACUAAAUAGAAUAUUAAAGGCGAAAGCUUUUUUCCAUUAAUGAUUGACGCUGAGAAACGAAGGUGAGGAUAGGAAAUAGGAUUAGAUACCCAGAAUACCCCUCUCUGUCAACGAUGAAUGGUAGUUAUUAGUAAUAAUUAUUAAUGGCAAUGUUAACACGAUAACCAUUCCGCCUUGUGAGUACAACUGCAAAGUUGAAAACAAAAAAAUUAGUCGGUUUCGGAGCAAACGAAGUGAAGCAUGUUAUUUAA